rnacentral:rRNA from 1 species
UACAGAGGGCUCAAGCGUUGUUCGGAUUCAUUGGGCGUAAAGGGUGCGUAGGUGGCGCCGUAAGUCAGGUGUGAAAUUUCGGAGCUUAACUCCGAAACUGCAUUUGAUACUGCGGUGCUUGAGGACUGGAGAGGAGACUGGAAUUUACGGUGUAGCAGUGAAAUGCGUAGAGAUCGUAAGGAAGACCAGUGGCGAAGGCGGGUCUCUGGACAGUUCCUGACACUGAGGCACGAAGGCCAGGGGAGCAAACGGG